GACGAACGCUGGCGGCGUGCCUAAUACAUGCAAGUCGAACGAGAGCAACCGGUGCUUGCACUGGUCAAUCUAGUGGCGAACGGGUGAGUAACACGUGGGUAACCUGCCCAUCAGAGGGGGAUAACAUCCGGAAGCGGAUGCUAAAACCGCAUAGGUCUUCGAACCGCAUGGUUUGAAGAGGAAAAGAGGCGCAAGCUUCUGCUGAUGGAUGGACCCGCGGUGCAUUAGCUAGUUGGUGAGGUAACGGCUCACCAAGGCCGUGAUGCAUAGCCGACCUGAGAGGGUGAUCGGCCACAUUGGGACUGAGACACGGCCCAAACUCCUACGGGAGGCAGCAGUAGGGAAUCUUCCGCAAUGGACGCAAGUCUGACGGAGCAACGCCGCGUGAGUGAAGAAGGUUUUCGGAUCGUAAAACUCUGUUGUUAGAGAAGAACAAGUGCUAGAGUAACUGUUAGCGCCUUGACGGUAUCUAACCAGAAAGCCACGGCUAACUACGUG
rnacentral:rRNA from 1 species